UACAGAGGUCUCAAGCGUUGUUCGGAUUGAUUGGGCGUAAAGGGUGCGUAGGCGGCGCGGUAAGUCGGGUGUGAAAUCUCGGAGCUUAACUCCGAAACUGCAUUCGAUACUGCCGUGCUUGAGGACUGGAGAGGAGACUGGAAUUUACGGUGUAGCGGUGAAAUGCGUAGAUAUCGUAAGGAAGACCAGUGGCGAAGGCGGGUCUCUGGACAGUUCCUGACGCUGAGGCACGAAGGUCAGGGGAGCAAACGGG
rnacentral:rRNA from 1 species